rnacentral:rRNA from 1 species
AUUGAACGCUGGCGGCAUGCUUUACACAUGCAAGUCGAACGGUAACAGGCCGCAAGGUGCUGACGAGUGGCGAACGGGUGAGUAAUGCAUCGGAACGUGCCCAGUCGUGGGGGAUAACUACUCGAAAGAGUAGCUAAUACCGCAUACGAUCUAUGGAUGAAAGCGGGGGACCGUAAGGCCUCGCGCGAUUGGAGCGGCCGAUGUCAGAUUAGGUAGUUGGUGGGGUAAAGGCUCACCAAGCCAACGAUCUGUAGCUGGUCUGAGAGGACGACCAGCCACACUGGGACUGAGACACGGCCCAGACUCCUACGGGAGGCAGCAGUGGGGAAUUUUGGACAAUGGGCGCAAGCCUGAUCCAGCAAUGCCGUGUGCAGGGAGAAGGCCUUCGGGUUGUAAACUGCUUUUGUACGGAACGAAACGGCUCUGGUUAAUACCCGGGGCUAAUGACGGUACCGUAAGAAUAAGCACCGGCUAACUACGUG